UCAGAACUGUUCCGAUGGUGA
rnacentral:piRNA from 1 species